rnacentral:tRNA from 1 species
GCCCUCGUAAGCUAACGGAUAAACUGCCUCGAUUCUAGCGAGGACUUGGGAGUUCGAAUCUUCCCGAGGGCA